AAAAACAUUUUUAAAAAAAGCAUACAAAAUAACACUCUUAAAAUGGUUUGCAUUUCACUUUUUUAUUUAGACUGCCCAAGUUGCAGGAAGUUUUCUCUCGAUGUAAAAUUAACUGAGCAGAUAUUUAUUAAAAAAUAAUAAAGUUGCUGAACUCUAUUUUAUUGCUAAGAAACCAGGUGCACAGAACAACAUAACCCUUGAGGACUGAAAACAAAGCUGGCUUCUUUACAAGACAUACAUUUAAGAACCAUAACAGCAGACUAUCCAAAAGAAUCAUUAAAAUAGUAGCAAUUUCAUAAAAGGG